GAAGGUAUCAGAAUCAGAGGUUCCUUGCUACUCAUUCUUUCUUUCCAUGCCCCUUGGAAGUCAUCAUUCCACCUGACCAUUUGAUCUCCUCUUCUUUUUUUUUGGUUUCGGUUCAGGCAUUUCUUGUAUUGUUGUUUUUCUUUUCUUUUCUUUUCUUUCUUUUUUUUUUUUGCAGUGAAAUUCUAGUUAUCAGACUUUGGAUGUCACACAGGUUGUUAUGACAUCCAAUUCUGCACAGACAGGGAUUAUGCAGAACUUAAUUAUAAGUGCAGUAAAUAACACAAGUAAUU
rnacentral:lncRNA from 1 species